GCCCCGUUCGUCUAGUGGCCUAGGACGCCGGCCUCUCACGCCGGUAACACGGGUUCAAAUCCCGUACGGGGUACAA
rnacentral:tRNA from 3 species